UGGUGUGGUUUGCGACACACCAGAGGGCUUUCCUUAAACUUGCACCAGGUGUUCUAAACGUGCUUCUGUUAAUACCUACCACAGGCCACCAGGGCGACAGAGGAGACAAGGGCUUGGCUGGCACGGGUCUUGACGGGCCUCAUGGAGACCAGGGGCUCCAAGGACCACAAGGUGUGCCUGGCAUCAGCAAAGACGGCCGCGACGGGGCCCACGGUGAGCCCGGGCUUCCUGGAGAUCCUGGCCUUCCCGGCGCUGCUGGAGCCCAGGGGCCCCCUGGCAUCUGCGACACCUCUGCCUGCCAAGGAGCCGUGAUGGGAGGCGGCGGGGAAAAAUCAGGUGCUAGACGCUCCUAAAACAGAACCUCAGAAGGGAGAUGAUGAGGAGUCUGGAGCUGCUGUAAAAUAAGCGAGUGAAGGUGGCAGGAU